CCGAGCGUCUGUUCCGUGCUUCCUUACUUCCCAUAGUGCACGUGACGUAUGGAAUGUAAAGAAGUAUGGAGCCGCGCUCUG